rnacentral:rRNA from 1 species
UACGGAGGAUGCAAGCGUUAUCCGGAUUUAUUGGGUUUAAAGGGUGCGUAGGCGGAUAUGUAAGUCAGCGGUGAAACUCACAGGCUCAACCUGUGCCGUGCCGUUGAAACUGUGUAUCUGGAAUGCGGAUGCUGUGGGAGGAAUGUGUAGUGUAGCGGUGAAAUGCAUAGAUAUUACACAGAACACCGAUUGCAAAGGCAUCUCACAAAGCCGUUAUUGACGCUGAGGCACGAAAGUGUGGGGAUCAAA